GUGUGAAAAACUCCGGUGGUGUGAGAUGGACCCGCGUCUGAUUAGCCAGUUGGCGGGGUAACGGCCCACCAAAGCGACGAUCAGUAGCCGGCCUGAGAGGGUGAACGGCCACAUUGGGACUGAGACACGGCCCAAACUCCUACGGGAGGCAGCAGUGGGGAAUAUUGCACAAUGGGGGAAACCCUGAUGCAGCGACGCCGCGUGAGUGAAGAAGUAUUUCGGUAUGUAAAGCUCUAUCAGCAGGGAAGAAAGUGACGGUACCUGAAUAAGAAGCCCCGGCUAACUACGUGCCAGCAGCCGCGGUAAUACGUAGGGGGCAAGCGUUAUCCGGAUUUACUGGGUGUAAAGGGAGCGUAGACGGCAAGGCAAGUCUGAAGUGAAAGCCCGGUGCUUAACGCCGGGACUGCUUUGGAAACUGUUUAGCUGGAGUGCCGGAGAGGUAAGCGGAAUUCCUAGUGUAGCGGUGAAAUGCGUAGAUAUUAGGAAGAACACCAGUGGCGAAGGCGGCUUACUGGACGGUAACUGACGUUGAGGCUCGAAAGCGUGGGGAGCAAACAGGAUUAGAUACCCUGGUAGUCCACGCCGUAAACGAUGA
rnacentral:rRNA from 1 species